rnacentral:rRNA from 1 species
UACGUAGGGGGCUAGCGUUGUCCGGAAUCAUUGGGCGUAAAGAGCGUGUAGGCGGUCCGGUAAGUCCGCUGUGAAAGUCGGGGGCUCAACCCUUGGAUGCCGGUGGAUACUGCAGGGCUAGAGUCCGGAAGAGGCGAGUGGAAUUCCUGGUGUAGCGGUGAAAUGCGCAGAUAUCAGGAGGAACACCGAUGGCGAAGGCAGCUCGCUGGGACGGUACUGACGCUGAGGCGCGAAAGCGUGGGGAGCAAACAGG